rnacentral:rRNA from 1 species
UACGUAGGUGACAAGCGCUGUCCGGAUUUACUGGGCGUAAAGAGCGCGCAGGCGGUCGUUCAAGUCGAGUGUGAAAGCCCCCGGCUCAACUGGGGAGGGUCAUUCGAUACUGAUCGACUCGAAGGCAGGAGAGGGAAGUGGAAUUCCCGGUGUAGUGGUGAAAUGCGUAGAUAUCGGGAGGAACACCAGUGGCGAAGGCGACUUCCUGGCCUGUUCUUGACGCUGAGGCGCGAAAGCUAGGGGAGCAAACGGG